CCCUUAGAUGUUCUGGGCUGCACGCGUGCUACAAUGAAGCGUCCAACAAGAUGCGAAGCCGAAAGGCUCAGCGGAUCUUUGAAGUCGUUUCGUGACCGGGACAGUUGAUUGCAAUUAUUCGACUCGAACGAGGAAUUCCUUGUAAUCGCGAUUCAUCAUAUCGCGCUGAAUACGUCCCUGCCCUUUGUACACACCGCCCGUCGCUCCUACCGAUUGAGCGAUCCGGUGAAUUAUUUGGAGUGUCCACGCAAGCCAAUCCGUUUACGUGGGUGCGAAAUUUUGUAAACCUUAUCGCUUAGAGGAAGGAAAAGGCGUAACA
rnacentral:rRNA from 1 species